GGACUACCGGGGUUUCUAAUCCUGUUUGCUCCCCACGCUUUCGCGCCUCAGCGUCAGUUGAAGACCAGGUUGCCGCCUUCGCCACCGGUGUUCUUUCCAAUAUCUACGAAUUUCACCUCUACACUGGAAAUUCCACAACCCUCUUCUCCACUCAAGUCUACACGUCUCAAAUGCAGUCCCCAGGUUGAGCCCAGGAAUUUCACAUCUGACUGUAUAAACCGCCUACGCGCCCUUUACGCCCAGUCAUUCCGAGCAACGCUAGCCCCCUUCGUAUUACCGCGGCUGCUGGCAC
rnacentral:rRNA from 1 species